rnacentral:rRNA from 1 species
GAAGGUGGCCUGUGAGGGUUGCUGGAGGUAUCAGAAGUGCGAAUGCUGACAUAAGUAACGAUAAAGCGGGUGAAAAGCCCGCUCGCCGGAAGACCAAGGGUUCCUGUCCAACGUUAAUCGGGGCAGGGUGAGUCGACCCCUAAGGCGAGGCCGAAAGGCGUAGUCGAUGGGAAACGGGUUAAUAUUCCCGUACUUGGUGUUACUGCGAAGGGGGGACGGAGAAGGCUAUGUUGGCCGGGCGACGGUUGUCCCGGUUUAAGCGUGUAGGUGUGUGUUCCAGGUAAAUCCGGUUCACUUUAACACUGAGGCGUGACGACGAGGCACUACGGUGCUGAAGCAACAAAUGCCCUGCUUCCAGGAAAAGCCUCUAAGCAUCAGGUAACAUCAAAUCGUACCCCAAACCGACACAGGUGGUCAGGUAGAGAAUACCAAGGCGCUUGAGAGAACUCGGGUGAAGGAACUAGGCAAAAUGGUGCCGUAACUUCGGGAGAAGGCACGCUGACAUGUAGGUGAAGUGAUUUACUCAUGGAGCUGAAGUCAGUCGAAGAUACCAGCUGGCUGCAACUGUUUAUUAAAAACACAGCACUGUGCAAACACGAAAGUGGACGUAUACGGUGUGACGCCUGCCCGGUGCCGGAAGGUUAAUUGAUGGGGUCAGCGCAAGCGAAGCUCCUGAUCGAAGCCCCGGUAAACGGCGGCCGUAACUAUAACGGUCCUAAGGUAGCGAAAUUCCUUGUCGGGUAAGUUCCGACCUGCACGAAUGGCGUAAUGAUGGCCAGGCUGUCUCCACCCGAGACUCAGUGAAAUUGAACUCGCUGUGAAGAUGCAGUGUACCCGCGGCAAGACGGAAAGACCCCGUGAACCUUUACUAUAGCUUGACACUGAACAUUGAGCCUUGAUGUGUAGGAUAGGUGGGAGGCUUUGAAGUGUGGACGCCAGUCUGCAUGGAGCCGACCUUGAAAUACCACCCUUUAAUGUUUGAUGUUCUAACGUGGACCCGUUACCCGGGUUGCGGACAGUGUCUGGUGGGUAGUUUGACUGGGGCGGUCUCCUCCUAAAGAGUAACGGAGGAGCACGAAGGUUGGCUAAUCCUGGUCGGACAUCAGGAGGUUAGUGCAAUGGCAUAAGCCAGCUUGACUGCGAGCGUGACGGCGCGAGCAGGUGCGAAAGCAGGUCAUAGUGAUCCGGUGGUUCUGAAUGGAAGGGCCAUCGCUCAACGGAUAAAAGGUACUCCGGGGAUAACAGGCUGAUACCGCCCAAGAGUUCAUAUCGACGGCGGUGUUUGGCACCUCGAUGUCGGCUCAUCACAUCCUGGGGCUGAAGUAGGUCCCAAGGGUAUGGCUGUUCGCCAUUUAAAGUGGUACGCGAGCUGGGUUUAGAACGUCGUGAGACAGUUCGGUCCCUAUCUGCCGUGGGCGCUGGAGAACUGAGGGGGGCUGCUCCUAGUACGAGAGGACCGGAGUGGACGCAUCACUGGUGUUCGGGUUGUCAUGCCAAUGGCACUGCCCGGUAGCUAAAUGCGGAAGAGAUAAGUGCUGAAAGCAUCUAAGCACGAAACUUGCCCCGAGAUGAGUUCUCCCUGAGACUUAGAGUCUCCUGAAGGAACGUUGAAGACGACGACGUUGAUAGGCCGGGUGUGUAAGCGCAGCGAUGCGUUGAGCUAACCGGUACUAAUGAACCGUGAGGCUUAACCUUACAACGCCGAAG